GGCGGUUAGAUAAGUNUGAAGUUAAAGGCUGUGGCUUAACCAUAGUAUGCUUUGGAAACUGUUUAACUUGAGUGCAGAAGGGGAGAGUGGAAUUCCAUGUGUAGCGGUGAAAUGCGUAGAUAUAUGGAGGANCACCGGUGGCGAAAGCGGCUCUCUGGUCUGUAACUGACGCUGAGGCUCGAAAGCGUGGGGAGCAAACAGGAUUAGAUACCCUGGUAGUCCACGCCGUAAACGAUGAGUGCUAGGUGUUAGGCCCUUUCCGGGGCUUAGUGCCGCAGCUAACGCAUUAAGCACUCCGCCUGGGGAGUACGACCGCAAGGUUGAAACUCAAAGGAAUUGACGGGGGCCCGCACAAGCGGUGGAGCAUGUGGUUUAAUUCGAAGCAACGCGAAGAACCUUACCAGGUCUUGACAUCCCUCUGAUCGCUCUAGAGAUAGAGUUUUCCUUCGGGACAGAGGUGACAGGUGGUGCAUGGUUGUCGUCAGCUCGUGUCGUGAGAUGUUGUGUUAAGUCCCGCAACGAGCGCAACCCCUAUUGUUAGUUGCCAUCAUUCAGUUGGGCACUCUAGCGAGACUGCCGGUAAUAAACCGGAGGAAGGUGGGGAUGACGUCAAAUCAUCAUGCCCCUUAUGACCUGGGCUACACACGUGCUACAAUGGCUGGUACAACGAGUCGCAAGCCGGUGACGGCAAGCUAAUCUCUGAAAGCCAGUCUCAGUUCGGAUUGUAGGCUGCAACUCGCCUACAUGAAGUCGGAAUCGCUAGUAAUCGCGGAUCAGCACGCCGCGGUGAAUACGUUCCCGGGCCUUGUACACACCGCCCGUCACACCACGAGAGUUUGUAACACCCGAAGUCGGUGAGGUAAC
rnacentral:rRNA from 1 species